rnacentral:rRNA from 1 species
GGUCAAGUGAAGAAGCGCAUACGGUGGAUGCCUUGGCAGUCAGAGGCGAUGAAAGACGUGGUAGCCUGCGAAAAGCUUCGGGGAGUCGGCAAACAGACUUUGAUCCGGAGAUGUCUGAAUGGGGGAACCCAGCCAUCAUAAGAUGGUUACCUUACACUGAAUACAUAGGUGUAUGGAGCGAACCAGGGGAACUGAAACAUCUAAGUACCCUGAGGAAAAGAAAUCAACCGAGAUUCCCUUAGUAGUGGCGAGCGAACGGGGACUAGCCCUUAAGUGGCUUUGAGAUUAGCGGAACGCUCUGGAAAGUGCGGCCAUAGUGGGUGAUAGCCCUGUACGCGAAAAUCUCUUAGUCAUGAAAUCGAGUAGGACGGAGCACGAGAAACUUUGUCUGAAUAUGGGGGGACCAUCCUCCAAGGCUAAAUACUACUGACUGACCGAUAGUGAACUAGUACCGUGAGGGAAAGGCGAAAAGAACCCCGGAGAGGGGAGUGAAAUAGAUCCUGAAACCGUAUGCGUACAAGCAGUGGGAGCCCACUUUGUUGGGUGACUGCGUACCUUUUGUAUAAUGGGUCAGCGACUUAUUUUCAGUGGCGAGCUUAACCGAAUAGGGGAGGCGUAGCGAAAGCGAGUCUUAAUAGGGCGUCUAGUCGCUGGGAAUAGACCCGAAACCGGGCGAUCUAUCCAUGGGCAGGUUGAAGGUUGGGUAACACUAACUGGAGGACCGAACCGACUACCGUUGAAAAGUUAGCGGAUGACCUGUGGAUCGGAGUGAAAGGCUAAUCAAGCUCGGAGAUAGCUGGUUCUCCUCGAAAGCUAUUUAGGUAGCGCCUCAUGUAUCACUGUAGGGGGUUAGAGCACUGUUUCGGCUAGGGGGUCAUCCCGACUUACCAAACCGAUGCAAACUCCGAAUACCUACAAGUGCCGAGCAUGGGAGACACACGGCGGGUGCUAACGUCCGUCGUGAAAAGGGAAACAACCCAGACCGUCAGCUAAGGUCCCAAAGUUAUGGUUAAGUGGGAAACGAUGUGGGAAGGCUUAGACAGCUAGGAGGUUGGCUUAGAAGCAGCCACCCUUUAAAGAAAGCGUAAUAGCUCACUAGUCGAGUCGGCCUGCGCGGAAGAUGUAACGGGGCUCAAACCAUACACCGAAGCUACGGGUAUCACGUAAGUGAUGCGGUAGAGGAGCGUUCUGUAAGCCUGUGAAGGUGAGUUGAGAAGCUUGCUGGAGGUAUCAGAAGUGCGAAUGCUGACAUGAGUAACGACAAUGGGUGUGAAAAACACCCACGCCGAAAGACCAAGGUUUCCUGCGCAACGUUAAUCGACGCAGGGUUAGUCGGUCCCUAAGGCGAGGCUGAAAAGCGUAGUCGAUGGAAAACAGGUUAAUAUUCCUGUACUUCUGGUUAUUGCGAUGGAGGGACGGAGAAGGCUAGGCCAGCUUGGCGUUGGUUGUCCAAGUUUAAGGUGGUAGGCUGGAAUCUUAGGUAAAUCCGGGAUUCUAAGGCCGAGAGCUGAUGACGAGUCGUCUUUUAGACGACGAAGUGGUUGAUGCCAUGCUUCCAAGAAAAGCUUCUAAGCUUCAGGUAACCAGGAACCGUACCCCAAACCGACACAGGUGGUUGGGUAGAGAAUACCAAGGCGCUUGAGAGAACUCGGGUGAAGGAACUAGGCAAAAUGGCACCGUAACUUCGGGAGAAGGUGCGCCGGUGAGGGUGAAGGACUUGCUCCGUAAGCUCAUGCCGGUCGAAGAUACCAGGCCGCUGCGACUGUUUAUUAAAAACACAGCACUCUGCAAACACGAAAGUGGACGUAUAGGGUGUGACGCCUGCCCGGUGCCGGAAGGUUAAUUGAUGGGGUUAGCUAACGCGAAGCUCUUGAUCGAAGCCCCGGUAAACGGCGGCCGUAACUAUAACGGUCCUAAGGUAGCGAAAUUCCUUGUCGGGUAAGUUCCGACCUGCACGAAUGGCGUAACGAUGGCGGCGCUGUCUCCACCCGAGACUCAGUGAAAUUGAAAUCGCUGUGAAGAUGCAGUGUAUCCGCGGCUAGACGGAAAGACCCCGUGAACCUUUACUAUAGCUUUGCACUGGACUUUGAAUUUGCUUGUGUAGGAUAGGUGGGAGGCUUUGAAGCGUGGACGCCAGUCUGCGUGGAGCCAACCUUGAAAUACCACCCUGGCAACUUUGAGGUUCUAACUCAGGUCCGUUAUCCGGAUCGAGGACAGUGUAUGGUGGGUAGUUUGACUGGGGCGGUCUCCUCCUAAAGAGUAACGGAGGAGUACGAAGGUGCGCUCAGACCGGUCGGAAAUCGGUCGUAGAGUAUAAAGGCAAAAGCGCGCUUGACUGCGAGACAGACACGUCGAGCAGGUACGAAAGUAGGUCUUAGUGAUCCGGUGGUUCUGUAUGGAAGGGCCAUCGCUCAACGGAUAAAAGGUACUCCGGGGAUAACAGGCUGAUACCGCCCAAGAGUUCAUAUCGACGGCGGUGUUUGGCACCUCGAUGUCGGCUCAUCACAUCCUGGGGCUGAAGCCGGUCCCAAGGGUAUGGCUGUUCGCCAUUUAAAGUGGUACGCGAGCUGGGUUUAGAACGUCGUGAGACAGUUCGGUCCCUAUCUGCCGUGGACGUUUGAGAUUUGAGAGGGGCUGCUCCUAGUACGAGAGGACCGGAGUGGACGAACCUCUGGUGUUCCGGUUGUCACGCCAGUGGCAUUGCCGGGUAGCUAUGUUCGGAAUAGAUAACCGCUGAAAGCAUCUAAGCGGGAAACUAGCCUCAAGAUGAGAUCUCACUGGAACCUUGAGUUCCCUGAAGGGCCGUCGAAGACUACGACGUUGAUAGGUUGGGUGUGUAAGCGCUGUGAGGCGUUGAGCUAACCAAUACUAAUUGCCCGUGAGGCUUGACCAU